rnacentral:rRNA from 1 species
UACAGAGGUCUCGAGCGUUGUUCGGAUUUAUUGGGCGUAAAGGGCGCGUAGGCGGCUUUUCAAGUGACGGGUGAAAUCCCUCGGCUUAACCGAGGAACUGCCUGUCAGACUGGAAGGCUUGAGACCGGGAGAGGUGAGUGGAAUUCCCAGUGUAGCGGUGAAAUGCGUAGAUAUUGGGAGGAACACCAGUGGCGAAGGCGGCUCACUGGACCGGAACUGACGCUGAGGCGCGAAAGCGUGGGGAGCAAACAGG